rnacentral:rRNA from 1 species
AACGAACGCUGGCGGCGUGCCUAACACAUGCAAGUCGUGCGAGAAAGUUCCUUCGGGAGCGAGUAAAGCGGCGCACGGGUGAGUAACACGUAGGUAACCUGCCCCCCAGUCUGGAACAACUAGAGGAAACUCUAGCUAAUGCCGGAUGAGACCACGAUCCCUUCGGGGGUUGCGGCCAAAGAUGGCCUCUACUUGUAAGCUAUCGCUGAGGGAUGGGCCUGCGAGCCAUUAGCUUGUUGGUGAGGUAACGGCUCACCAAGGCUGUGAUGGCUAGCUGGUCUGAGAGGAUGACCAGCCACACUGGGACUGAGACACGGCCCAGACUCCUACGGGAGGCAGCAGUGGGGAAUAUUGCGCAAUGGGCGAAAGCCUGACGCAGCGACGCCGCGUGGGUGAUGAAGGCCU